ACCGCAUGCGUCCGCGACACCCUCCAUCAAGUUUAUCAGUGUUUGGUUUCGGUUUCGUCAUAGUUUUUAGUUUCGUUGGAGCCUGUACCUUCUAUUCAGUCAAGUCUGUUUCAGAGUCUAGGGGGUGGUGUUAACUUUGUUGCUGAUUGUGAGUGUGUUUUAGCAGCCACUUCGAACCGCCGACCUUCAACUAUGGAGGAAGUCUUACAACCACUGC
rnacentral:lncRNA from 1 species